rnacentral:rRNA from 1 species
CCCUUAGAUGUCCUGGGCCGCACGCGCGCUACACUGACAUGUUCAACAAGCCUCCUAGUUCGACAGGAUUUGGGAAAUCUUUGAACGCAUGUCGUGCUGGGGAUAGAUCCUUGCAAUUUUUGAUCUUAAACGAGGAAUUCCUAGUAAGCGCGAGUCAUCAACUCGCGUUGAUUACGUCCCUGCCCUUUGUACACACCGCCCGUCGCUACUACCGAUUGAAUGGUUUAGUGAGAAUUUUGGACUGGAACUCCCUUGCUCAGCAAUGGGCGAGGGGGAGUCCGGGAAGCUAUUCUAACUGUAUCAUUUAGAGGAAGUAAAAGUCGUAACA